rnacentral:rRNA from 1 species
CCUACGGGAGGCAGCAGUGGGGAAUAUUGCACAAUGGGGGAAACCCUGAUGCAGCGACGCCGCGUGAGUGAAGAAGUAUUUCGGUACGGAAAGCUCUAUCAGCAGGGAAGAAAAUGACGGUACCUGACUACGAAGCCCCGGCUAACUACGUGCCAGCAGCCGCGGUAAUACGUAGGGGGCAAGCGUUAUCCGGAUUUACUGGGUGUAAAGGGAGCGUAGACGGCAGCGCAAGUCUGGAGUGAAAUCCCAUGGCUUAACCAUGGAACUGCCUUGGAAACUGUGCCGCUAGAGUGGAGGAGAGGUAAGCGGAAUUCCUAGUGUAGCGGUGAAAUGCGUAGAUAUUAGGAGGAACACCAGUGGCGAAGGCGGCUUACUGGACCCUAACUGACGCUGAGGCUCGAAAGCGUGGGGAGCAAACAGGAUUAGAUACCCCGGUAGUC